CAGUUGGAACCUGGACCUGGACUUGGGAUUAUGUUUAAUGAUCGCAACGAUGGCGAUGAAGAUGAUGAUGAUGGGUCCAGACCAGGCCAGGCCACUCCAUACCAUACCCGGCUGGACUGAGUCCCCUCUGCUAUCAUAAAGGCACGAUCAGGUGCAUACAUAAUAAUACUGGCAACUGAAAAUUAAGCGACAUUGUUGCAGCAAUUUUCAUCGUAUGUAUGGCUUCAACGGCAGGGAGACACAAAAGGCAAGAACAAGCUACAAGAUACACGAGCUACGCUACACUGCAAAGAUACAGAUACACAGCAUUCACACAGAUACACUAUAGUGGUAGGGGAGAGUGCCAGAGAGAGAGAGAGAGAGAGGGGGAAACAAAACUAUAGCUACGCGGCUACAAAGCGACAGAGCGCAAAAAAAAAAUGUGCUGCCGCUGCUGCUGCUAAUGUGAAGUUUGGCAACGUCGCGCUGCCUUUGGUGGGUUUGCAAUUUCGCAUCUAACAGAUACAAUAAUACCCCAGAGCCAGCUGUAGACGCUCGUUGUGCUUGUUUUUCUUGUUUUUUUUUUCUGCCUCACACACACACUCGUGCAAGUUGCCGUUUGCUUGUUUUCAAUUAGAGUCGGAAAAAAAAAACAGAAAAGGCAGCGGCAGCGGCAGCGACCGGGUAUUUGUUGUUGUUGGCGGACGAGUAUCUUGCAAAUAUACCGCACGUUGUGUAAACAUCAGUCGCUGUCGCUGUCGCUGCCUCAGUCGACGUCGCUGUCGACGUCGAAGUAAGCUUUUUUUUGCGUUGCCUUUGUGGUCGCUGCUUUUGUAGGUUUUCUUCUUCUUCAUGCCGUCUUCCUCUCUUUUUUCUUCUUCUUUUUCUUUUUCAGCGACUGCUUUAUUUUUAUGCUGGCAUUUUUGCGGCACUUGAAUCUGCUGGCUCACUCGCUCCAACUCUCUUUUUUUGGCCGCCCCUCUCGCUUCCUCUUUGUCGUUUAAUUGCAAAUGAGUCAUGCACACUCACGCUCACACUCGCACACCCCUCCCUGCCUUCCUGCCGCCCUGCCACCCUGCCUGCAGUCGUGGAGACAAACACAUGUAUAUUUUUCAAAGUCCAUGCCUGGUCAGCAAAAAAAAAAAAAAAAUAAAAAAUACAAAAUAUAUAUAUAUAUAUAUAUUCGUUAAUCAAUUGGAUUUCUUUGGAGGGGUUAGAGUGUUUGUGGGAAAGAGAAAGAACAUCGCGUGUGCAGGAAGUCCUAGCUACCACCCACCCCCACCCCCUCCUAUCUGAUAAAUAAAUAAAUAGACUUUGCCCGGCAGCAGCAGCAUCCUUCGAUGGGAACAAAAGAGAUUUUUAUUUCUACUCUCCACUCUCCACUACUACUCUCUCCCCUAGCAAAGAAAUAUAAAGAAAACGAGCCAAGAUCAAAGCGGAGGGUAAUUUGUUAUUUGUCAAGUUAAGAGCACUCGUGGAAGUUGCGGCUUAAGUUGCGGAAUUAACUAAACGAGCUUCAGUUUAAAGGAGAUUUCUUUUUCUUCUUUAUUUAUUUAUUUUUUUGGGGGGAUUUAAUGGACAUUAAAAAUAAAUUGGCAAAAAGUUUUUCUCAUUCAGAGACUAAACUCCCAGGCUGGAAAGCUAAAAAUACAUUUCAAAUUGAAUAAAUAAUUGAAAAUAAUUAUAAAGGCAUUAAAAAUAAAUCUAGGGGAUUUUUUUUCAGGGGGUGAUCUAAGGUUAUUAUUUAUUCAAAAAAAUUUGAUUUAUCAGAAAAGUAUCUAACGGAUAGCUUACUAUAUUAGAUAGAUGUCUUUUGUGAAUAAAUAAUGGGGGGAUUAUUAGUUUCUUGAUAAGGUAUUUAUGGAAAUAACAAAAGUACAUAUUAUAAAUCAGAAAUCCUAAAAAAUUCCUUUUUUUCCAUAGUAUUUUCAAGUUUCUUUAUAAAGUACGGCUAGAAAUAAAAAUUUUAUGAAUCAAAAAUACUGAAAAGCGCACUUUUUUCUAAAUGUUUUUUUUAUAAUUAAACAAAAUUCUGAAAAACGCACUUUUUUUUACAGUAUCUGCGGUUUUUUUUAAUAUAAAUAAUUAAAAAAUAUUAUAAAGUAUUUAAAAAAAAAAUUAUUUAUAAAAAAUAUUGAAAAAUAUAUUUUUUUUUUCUCCGUUUUAUCAAAAUCAUGCAUGUAUCCUAAAAAUCUCACUGUUUUCCUAUAGUAUAUGCCUUAAAACAAAAGUAUUAUAUCAUAAAUCGUAAAAAAAAAUCACAUUUUCUCAAUGUAUCUCCCAUUUCCAUUACAUAAGAUAAACGUAAACCCCACAAAAAACAAAACAAAAAUAAUAAAAAAAUAUUACAGACUCCCUAUUGGCAUUUCCAAUUCCAGAUAUUACAUAUUUGAUGGGCGUGCUUUCAUUUCCCAUUUUAUAUAUUUGUUGUUGGGCGUCAUAUGCCCAGGCCCCUUUGUUGUUAUUUUCCACAAAAAAAAUUGUACUUUUCACGCAAUUUGCAUGUUUCAUUGCAUUUGGAAUUCUCGUUUUUGUUUGUUUUCCAAUUAGCGAAGCAAUUAAAAAUAAUAAUUAAAAAUUUAUUAAACAUGAAAACAUUCUGCCACACCCCUUUUUCCGUCACACCGCCCAUUUAAAACAGCUGACAAGUGAAAAAAAAGAAAAACAAGAAAAAAAUAAAUACAUGAAAUUAUUACGUGAAUGGGAUAUAGGAUAUAUGAUAUAUAUGCUUUAUAAUCGUUAUAUACUCUCCACCGUAUAUAUUAAAAAAAAUACAUAAAAAGAGAAUUGAAUUAACGACAAAAACAACAAGAAGAGCACUAAAGCCAUAGCAAUAACAUCACGCAUACGCCCCGUGCGACAAUGGUUUGGAUGAUAAAUUAAAACCGAAAUUCGAAUGGGGCUAGGUAGGUAGGGGGUGGCUGGUGGUGGUGGGAUAUACAGCCCACAAUUGCAAUUGCAAUAAUUGACAAUAAUUUCAGUAAUUAUUCCGUAAAUUACUUUGAUUUUUUUUCCAGGCCCACCACCACCCUCCAUCACAAAUACAAUUUUUUAUCGUUUUUUUUUUCCACCCACAUGACAAUGGCUCUUCCCCACUCCAACAUCCGCCACGAUAUAAAUCUGUUGACUAAUUAUUUAUAGACAGAAGAGCAGGGCCCUGCCAGAGGCUAUAAUAAUAAUCAUAAUAAAAUUCUCAGAAAUAAUUAAAUAAAUAAAAAAUAGAUAUACUUUUUCUGACUUAUUAGUCAUAGAACUAUGUAUAUUAAAAUCCAUAAAGUAUCUGUAAGGUAUAUAGUUUCAGUGUAUCUUUUAAAUCCAUUUCUAGCGCUUUCCUGCUAAUUGUUUUUGAUUAGUUUCUGAGAGGGCGUUACGACCCGCAUGACUGACUUGGCUCGGUCUCUAGUUUGGCCAAUGAGAGGGCCGCCUUUCAUUGCAUUUUUCAGUCUUCUAGUCUUCAGACAAAUAAAAUACUGAGGUCAUUGCUCUCUUCCUUCACCAGACCAGUGCCAGAGACCCAGACCCUUUGGCCUGACUCGCAAAAUAGAUAACUCCAUCAGGCAGGCAAGAAAAACACGUCACGCGACCUGAAAAAAUGCCAAAAUAUUUUGCACUUGUUUAGGUGAUUUCAGGCCUAGUUGGACUAGUUUUCUUAUAAAUAUUUUCUUUCUGGCUCUACUAUCUAGUAAGUAAUUUAUUUAGAGCUAAUAUAGAGGUUCUAUAAACCCUUUUGUUUAAUAUUUUGGGGGUUUUAGCAGAUUUCUGUUUUUUUUAGCCUAUAUCUCAUAUAUGUUCUGGUUGCUGAACAGACUGAACUGUUCUGCCUGCCUGGUUUAUAAUUUAUUUGUCGCUUCCCCUUCUUUUUUAUUAUUUUUUUUUUUUUUUAUAAUUUCCAGUCCAAAGUUCAGUUGCAGUUUCGCAGACAAGCACAUGUGUCUCAUUCGGCCUUUCGCUUUCAUGCUCGCUCAGUCAUAGGCCAUCCACUCUUUCCCUCUAAAUGCGACUAUAUAUAUGCAUUAUAUACAUAUAUCUACCAUAUCUGUUGUCUGGCUAGAACAAAGAAAGAGCCAGGCUAUGGUACUUGUAAAGAUAAUAGCAGAAAUUGUCCAGCUACUAGCACUGGUCUGGUUUUUGGAGUGAGAGACUAGAGACCAGAGACCAGAGACCAGAGACCAGAGUAUGAAUAUGAAUUUGUUGUUUCUGAAUGGUGUGGUGUUGGUAGCUUCCUGCAGUCAGGAUGACAAAGACAAAGCCUCCACUGUUUAGCGGUCUUUGGACCUUGAGCUUUGGCUUACAACCCAGCGAGUCUGGUGGCUUUGUUGUGCGAAAAAAAAAUAAAAACUAAACCUGUUCUUCUUGCUUUUCCCGCCCAGGAUGCAGAGUCAUAGAACCCUUUUUUUCUGAUUGUUAUGCAGGGCAUAGCACAGCCCUACAACAAAUAACUUUGACAUUCAAAAUAUGCUAUUCUACAGAAGCGGAAAUCCGCGCGGAAAGGAGAAGGGACCGGGAUUGGGUUUGGGUUUUGUGCCGGGAAGCGGGAAAUGGGAACACCAGGCAGCUGUGCAUUAUACAUACUUGAAUGCAAAUAUGCAAAACACAAGCAUAAAAUACUUUUCCCUCCUUUUUUUUUUUUGUUUUUUUUUUUUAGAGCUCCAGAACUGUAUUCAAUGAAUGAAACGGUUUGUUGUGUUGUGGCAGCCUGCUUGCAACCCUUUUGUAGGGUCUUCACCACCAUUUGAUUUAUGUUAAGUUAUGCAGCAUGUUGCAGCAUUAAAUUUCACAUUUGAUUUCUCGGUUAAUUGCCUCCCGAAAAGAGAGUCAGACAGACAUAUCCCUUAAAUUUUAAAGAAAAAUUACUAAUAUCACAUUACAAUCAAUCAUGUAACUAAUAUACCUUGACUGCUAGAGACCAUAUGGUAUAGGGCUAUAUAGUCACCGAUCUACCCUACCAAAAAAAAAUAGAAAAUAUAUAGCUUCUGGCUAAACCGUUACACGUCAUUUCACUCAACUUCAAGCGAGUGUGACGGGACUGAGAACGACCGAUUUAGACACCCGGAAAUUGUCGUCUUCUCUUCGCUUUUAGCUUCAGCCAUAAGACCCCCCCUUAUUUUUUUUUUUUUUGCAUAUUUUUGUGCCCCUGCACAUUUAAAUAAAAUUCUCAUAUUUGUAUAUAUUUUUUUUAUGGCCGUCUAGACACCACAUUCGAACAGAAACCAACCCACAGUCCAAGCUCUAGCUCUUUGGAACUAUAACUCUACCUCCCCACCGAGACAAAAUAUAUUUGUAUUUAUUUGUGAAUAAACAUAUCUGGCGGAAUCGCUUUUAAAUUGCCAGACAUUUUUCUGAUUAAUGUCCGACAAAUUGUAUAAUCUGACAGGCACUUGUCAGUCAGUCGAGUUGAGUUCAGUUCUGAUCUCAAAGUUAUGUUCAAAACGCGUUGCAAUUAUUAUCCAUCGAAUGAAGUCCAUAUUUGUUUGUCAAAUCACUAAAGACGUGACGAAAGUUUCAUUCCCAACCAAAAUAGGAUUUUAAAUGGGCUAUAGACUAUAAAGUAUUGGAUAAAAAAAUAAUAUAUGGAAAUAAUGGGUGGUAAUUAAGACAAGUGGUAUUAUGAAAUGAAAUGUUGAUGCAAUACUCUAUACAGAGAACAAAGUCCCCCCACCGACAAUUAAAA